rnacentral:rRNA from 1 species
AUUGAACGCUGGCGGCAGGCCUAACACAUGCAAGUCGAACGAGUGGCGGACGGGUGAGUAAUGUCUGGGAAACUGCCCGAUGGAGGGGGAUAACUACUGGAAACGGUAGCUAAUACCGCAUACCAUCGGAUGUGCCCAGAGGGGAUUAGCCAGUAGGUGGGGAAACGGCUCAACUAGGCGACGAUCCCUAGCUGGUCUGAGAGGAGGACCAGCCACACUGGCACUGAGACACGGUCCAGACUCCUACGGGAGGCAGCAGUGGGGGAGAUUGGACAAUGGGCGCAAGCGUGAUGCAGCCAUGCCGGGUGUAUGAAGAAGGCCUUCGGGUUGUACAGUACUUUCAGCGAGGAGGCGUUACUCGCAGAAGAAGCACCGGCUAACUCCGUGCCAGCAGCCGCGGUAAUAC